rnacentral:lncRNA from 1 species
CAGGCAAAAUCAUCACAGGUAUCAUAAACCUGCAAGCUAAAGGCCGACUCCCCAACAAAUGAGAACUAUGCAAGGAUUAAAUGACAUACCGCUGCAUAUUUGUCAACAAGUGGGCGGAAGGAUGGAUCAGAGAGGAGGGCUUUGUCACUUGGUAGCUGUAGAAGGCCUUCCUUCUCUCCACUCAGAAGCUCCCUGUCAUAGUUUAUUCAACUUAUCUUAAUGAAGACUCGUGUCAGAGUUCAUGCUCCAGGAUUGUAACACAGCUAUUCAGUUUAACCAACAAAACAUGGUAUGAGUAGAAAUAAGAGUUGCCUUCUUCAAAAGAAACAGAUCACGUACGUGAAGUAAGAGUUGUCAAAGAUUAAAGGGUUGGAUGUCCAGGCUCCCUCAAACCCAGAUCUAUCCUUGUGGCAUCUUCCCUACAAGAGAGACAAUUCUGCAUAAGCACCACCUUUCAAGUUGCCAAACACCCAAAAAAAUACACAGGCUAGGUGACCAGUUCCACCAACCAGGGUGUGACCACCAGAAAGUGCAACAAUGUCCUGGUCGCUCAAACCCAUCUGUGUGGAGAAAACCUGCCUGAGGUGAUCAGAACCUGAUACAAGAGACCAAACCAGUAAGUCCACCUAUCCCAUUUGUACCAUUGAGAAACAUUCUAACUUUAUCCUUGACACGACAAAGAAGGCAAUCCAAGAACUCAGAUCAAAUGUUCCUCACGAAUUCUUAUGCACUAACUGAGUAGAUUUCUUGUAUAGUCAAAGAAGGAUCACACACAGUGCACCCAGAAGCAUGCCUACAUCAAGGCAGAAGCUUCAGCAAUAUCAGAGGAAUUCUAUAAUUGUGGCCUUGUUUAGUUCACCCCGAAAACCAAAAAGUUUUCAAGAUUCCCCGUCACAUCGAAUCUUAUAGCACUUGCAUGAAGCAUUAAAUAUAUACGAAAAAAAACUAAUUACACAGUUUAGGUGUAAAUCACAAGACGAAUCUUUUGAUCCUAGUUAGUCUAUAGUUGAAUAUUAUUUGUCACAAACAAACGAAAGUGCUACAGUGUCAAAAUCCGAAUUUUUUUCGGAACUAAACAAGGCCUGUACCUUGGGUGGCAUCAGGAAGGCGGCCUUCUGGCGGAGGCUCAGGCUUGUCCUACAGAAUAAAAACAAUGAUUUCAUCAACAGCCACAGCUAGAAGAUCAAUACAGUAAAGAAACUGCAGUCUGAAACAAAGCAUAAUAACAUAUUCCCACUAGCAGAUGAUGUAGCUUCUACAGCGAACAAAUAGAAAUACUACUAACCCAAGGCAAGAGUCUUAGGCGAUAAACUAGAACAAGUAUUUUAAGGACUGGAUAAAAUGCUACACACAGGUCACAGGACAUAGCUAGUUACUAAUUACACGAUCACCAUCUAUUUAACCAGAAGCUGGCCAGCGAACAGUCAAAACAUCUGCAGAAUGAGUAAUAUACUACUAUAUGAACAAACACGCAAAAUAGCAUCUAAUGCAUAUGGACCCUAUGCAGCAGAUCAACUAGCUCCAUGGCACAACUGUCCUCCUAAUAUUACCACUCUCUCAUGUGACGGGCUGAUAAUGUAGCUAGGGAAUUUUAUUUGGCAAACCAAUACACUAUCACAAAUUCACAAGAAUUUUAAACGUGGCACAUAAAAGGGGUAAAUGUAAAUUGCCAACCUAUCAACGGUCCAUCCAACCUGAGAAACAUCUGAAAUCAUUGUCCACACGAUGAGGGAUUGCAAGAACUAGCAUCACAUGAAUCCAGAAUGUAUGGUAAUAGCUAAAGCCAACAGAGGCUGGAGUUAAGCCACCAUGUGCUACGCAUGAGCACGUGUCAGCGAGCCAGGGUGUCGCAGGUACAAUUGGUAGCGACUAGGGUUUAUUUUGCUUAAACCCUAACAAAAUCUCUGGUUUGGGUUGGGUUAGGCUGGGGCUUGAUGAUUUUUUUCUAUCUAAUAAUAAUAUAAUAAAACUAAAAAGGGUUAUUAGAAAAAGGAAUCCGCCUCACCUGCCUCCCAGGGUGGAAGGGGACAUCAGGUCCGCCGGUUACCUCAACUGCCACGACUCCGGCAAGCUGCAACAACCACACAGUGAAUAAGACCAUAAAAUUCGUUAGUCAAUCUAGAUAGAAUCAGACGAAUGGAUGGGUGAUCAGAGUUGCAAUCUCAGGCAGGCAGGUAACCUGGUAGAAGUCAGCAUAGGAUAGGAUGGGGAACUGCUCCUUGAUAGGCUCUAGCAGCCUGACGGCAAUUUCCAGUCCGGCGUUGGCUCCGUGCGCCUGCUCGGCGGGGUUCUUCAUGGUGCCGAAGGGCCCCCCGGUCUUGGUGGCCACAUCGAAGGUGCCCGCGGAGUGCCAGCUGCGAGGAGGAAGGAAGGAGUUGGGAGUGGAAGUAGUUUCGGGAUUUCCGAAUCGGAUCGGGAUCGGGAUCGGGCGAAGAAGAAGUGGGAGAGGGCUUACGCGAGGCGGAGCAUGAGCGGGGCGCAGUUCUUCUCAGCGAUGAGGCCGCGGAGCUUGCGCUUGGCCUUGUCGACCGCCUUGAGGUAGUCCUCACUCACCGUGGGGUAGGCCUUCACCAUGGCUGCUGAC